rnacentral:lncRNA from 1 species
CGCGAUUUAAUGGUUGUGAAUCAUUGUUAUCGCGAGGGUUGGAGUCUUGUUCUGUGUUAGACGUAUGCGGUCACCAAUUUCCCGAACCAGUUCCAAAAGAACCUAAUUUUGAUUGUGUUUCAAACGCAAGUGCUUGCAGAUGAGCUUCAGCCAAUGUUGUAGGAUCAAAUUGGGUCAACAAAUUCUGCAGUGAAAGGCGCAAACCACCAAUAAAACGAGAAACCAACUGGAUUGGGGUGUCAUUAAGCUCAUUCUGGAUGAGUAGGAGGUAAAAUUAUUCUGCGUAUUCAUCCACAGAAUGCAAACUUUGGCGUAGAUUUUGCAGUCUGGUGAACAUUUUCUGGUCGUGGUUAAGAGGAAGGAAUUGCGUCCGCAAGUGCUUUUUUAAUUGAUCCCAUGUUGCGAUACGGGCUUUACCAGUACGAACCCGAUUUGCCUUGAAC